CGUAGGUGGCAAGCGUUGUCCGGAAUUAUUGGGCGUAAAGCGCGCGCAGGCGGUCCUUUAAGUCUGAUGUGAAAGCCCACGGCUCAACCGUGGAGGGUCAUUGGAAACUGGGGGACUUGAGUACAGAAGAGAAGAGUGGAAUUCCACGUGUAGCGGUGAAAUGCGUAGAGAUGUGGAGGAACACCAGUGGCGAAGGCGACUCUUUGAUCUGUAACUGACGCCGAGGCGCGAAAGCGUGGGGAGCAAACAGGAUUAGAUGCCCUGGUAGUCCACGCUGUAAACGAUGAGUGCUAAGUGUUAGAGGGUUUCCGCCCUUUAGUGCUGCAGCUAACGCAUUAAGCACUCCGCCUGGGGAGUACGGCCGCAAGGCUG
rnacentral:rRNA from 1 species